CUUUGAGGAACUCGUCACUUGAAUUGAUAGAAGUCUGUCCUUUUGUCUCUUUGCUGCUGAUCUCUGUUCCCAAACAGCUGGGCAGCUCAACAGGCAAGAGGGCUCCCAGGAGCCGGAUUCCGGGCUCCCUGGGGUGGGGAGUGAGGGAAUGACUACGAGGAAUCAAAGGGCCCACCUGGUGAUGGCAAUUAGGAUUCUGAGAAUGAAGCACUGAAAUGUACUGUGUGAGAUUUGAUUUCAUCAGAGAAUACGGCACCUGGCACUGCCCCCCACCCCCAGGUGUCCAUCACCCAGAGUCAGAGGGUAAGUAAUAACCGGGUAAUCACAAACUCCUCUUGCAAAGGAUAAGGUUUGCAUAGUGCUUGUGGUCAUUUCGCCCAUGUUCUAAAUUGUGGGGCUGGGAGAAAAGGGAGGAGUUUUUCUUAAUUUCCAAAGGAAAAGAAAUUUUGAUCAUUCUAUUAAAAAGUUUAGGUGAAUUGGGAAGCAGAAACCCCAGGGCUAUGAUUGUCUGUACACUGGCUAGUGAGGUCAACAAGUUUGUCUUUGCAUCUGCAAACAGCUUUGCUCAAGCCAUUCUAGAGGGAGGUAAGGAGCUUGAGAGCAUGGAAAGAGCAGCAGAUGGUGAGUAAAUAAGCCAGGGUUCUGGAUCCUAGUAUCAUCAGUUAGCUGAGGGACUGGAUGCAUUCCUUCAUGUCUCUGGGCAGGAAUUUUUCAACUACAAAAUGAGAGAGCUGGACCAGACAGUCUCCAGGGCCAAUCCUAGCUCUAAAAUUCUGUAAGGCUUCCAUCUUUCCCAUCUUAAACUUCUCUAGGCAAUCCAAUCUCAUAUCUUUUAAAAUUAAUCUUUCCUUAAAAUGGGCUCAGGACAUAUAAUGUGUUGUAUAUUUUCUUCACGUUUCCCUCACUGAGAACUUCAGCAUAUCCCUUACCGCCAUCCUUUUCCAUGAGUAUUUUGCUACACAGGCAGUUUCCUCUGGUGAGAAAGUCGGUGACCUCAGAAUGUGUUCUCAUUGACUUUGUGUGCUUCCUUUAAUGGGCUGAGAGAGUCCUCUGAAUUUCCUGCUUAGGUCCAGUAGAUUGCUAAACAGCAAUUCAUUCAUUCAAUCAUUCAUUCAACAAAUAUGCAUUGAGCGUCUACUGAGUUCCAGGUACUCUGCCAGGUGCAGUCAUGCUUCCCAAGGACUAUUUGAGAAUCUACCUUUCUCUUGCCUAAAUACAAGUCUCUCUGCUCACCUCAAUGAUCUCCACAGGUGGAAGAUCCUCAGAUUCUCAGAAUUUCUCUAGAAGCAAGAGUUGCAAGUGGGAGGAUAGCCUGUCUCCCCAUAGAACCUUCCCCACAGGGCUUGCACCUUAGUUAAGCAAGAUGUAACAUCAGAAGGCACCAUGCUCUGAAGAUGGAGACGAUGUCAGAAUCAAGUCACAGAAGCACAGAAACUAAUAGCUGUGGAAUAUUCUGAUGCUGGCCAUUGAAGUCUGACUGAAGACUUUCUGCAGGAAGCGGGGAGCAGCAUUCCAAUUUUUGAGAGCCUCUGCUUGCCGUCAGCUGUGAGUGCCCAUACAAUGAACCAAGCAUCCUCCAAGUGGACCCCUGCUUUGAAACUUAGAGAUGUAUAUUGCAAAGCAACAGUGAAAGAGCCAGGGAUAAAAAAAAAAUCAGCAGUUAUGAAACAGAAAGGGAGAAAAAGUUUGUAAAGCUCUAUUAAAGUCAUCAAAUGUCUCUUGCUUAAGGUUGAAAAACUUACAGCAUGCCAGAAUACUGCAAUAUUACAAAUGAGUGCCAAUAGUCAUCCAUUUUCUCCUUUUGUCAUGUUUAUGCCUGGGGAUUUAAUAUUUGAUCAUUUUUCUUUUAGUGGUCUUAAAUAAAUGGACAAGCUGUUGAGAACCGUAGCACCUACAGAUGUGAAAUUUACAAAAAGAGAGAGUGAGAUAAAGUUUAGAGUCUGGAGCUUUGUUUUCCAUUUUCCAUGCAUACUACAUCAUUGAAGUCAAUUUGGCAGAAAAGGCAUUGAUUUGUAGCUGAGGACAAGGAAAUCUGUCAGGAAAGUGAAUGCAGCCCUUGAAUCCAUCUUGGAAGAAGAAAGGCACAAAGGAGGAGAGGUUCCAAAGGGAAGCCCCUGUCCAGGGUGUGUAUUUGUAAAUCAGGAAGUGUUGGGGCCAGAUUUAUCCAGCACACACUUAACUGAGCUGAUAGAGAUAUCUUCUUUAAAGAUAAUCGUGUGU